GGUUGUUUAAGUGGUUAGAUCGUUCGCCUCGGAAGCGGGAGGGCGCCUGUUCAAACCCGGCUAAAUAAUACCA